rnacentral:rRNA from 1 species
UACGGGGGGGGCAAGCGUUGUUCGGAAUUACUGGGCGUAAAGGGUUUGUAGGUGGCUUGCUAAGUCAGACGUGAAAUCCCUCAGCUUAACUGGGGAACUGCGUCUGAGACUGGUGAGCUUGAGUGCAGGAGAGGAACGCGGAAUUCCAGGUGUAGCGGUGAAAUGCGUAGAUAUCAGGAGGAACACCAAUUGCGAAGGCAGCUCGCUGGGACGUAACUGACGCUGAGACGCGAAAGCGUGGGGAGCAAACAGG